CGGAAAACAGCGACGACGUACUCACAAUCGUGUGCUUCUUCCACGCAGAUCGCCUGCUUGCGCAACAGCGAUGCAAAGAUUGCAGUGUAGUUUCAAGAAGGUUGCCGACGCUGACAGCGUUUUUCUUGGCGGCAAUAUCACGAAAGGGGAUCGUCUGCUUCCGCACGUGUACGGCGUUGAACAAAUAGUGGACGGUGAUGUGACAGUGAAAGCAAAGUGCGUGCCACACGUGUCCGACAAGAUCGUAUACGACGUCGAGUAAGAGUACAAAUGGGACAUUGCUUUCCACUAUUUUUAUGACCAAUGAGCUCUAGACAUCGACUUGUAUCUGGAGUUCAGGACCCGUCAUUGCCCUGUACUCUGCCUCUCAAGCUUAUGCGGACGAACUCGAACUAAAGG